rnacentral:tRNA from 1 species
GAGGGUGUAGCUCAGUGGCAGAGUGCUUGCUUAGCAUGCACGAGGUCCUGGGUUCGAUCCCCAGUCCCUCCA